CCAAUCAGUGCUUAUAUUUUUUAUUAUUCGGUAUUAAAAUUCAAAGCAAAAUGGCGGCCCGGUGGUGAGAAAAGUCGCUGGAAAGCAAUUUCAACCUGUACUGACGAACUGGAGAAGUUGCUGAGGACAAUUAUUCAGGACAAAAAGGCUUUACACGAAGACUUUCAGUUAUCAUUACGGAUUUUCAGUCACCAUGGAGGAGCUGACAUCAACCCUGGCCAGUUCUUUCUCUGUGUCGAACAUCCCGAACAACCCUGCGGCCCCCCACCCCCGCCUGGCACAGUACAAGGCCAAGUCACAUGACCUAGCCCAGUCCGAGAGGAGGAGACAAAUGCUGGAUCGACAGAAGAAACAGCGUCAAGAUGUAGCAAACUUAGCACGUCGACUAGCAGAGAAUGACUGGGAGAAUUGGAGCACAGAAGAGGAAGAAGAUGAGGAAGAGAUGGACUACACCCAAAAGAGACCCAAGCUUUAUGCCAACCAGCUGAUGUUGUCAGAGUGGCUGGUUGAUGUCCCAGGGGACCUGGAGGAGGAGUGGCUGAUGGUGGCAUGUCCUGUGGGCAGGAGAAACCUCCUGGUGGCAGCUAAGGGAACAACCAAGGCCUACACCAAAGGUGGCUUCUGUGUAAACUGCUUCCCUUCAGCACUGCCUGGUGGUAGGAAGGGGAAAUACAGUGCCAAAGAAUACACUAUCCUAGACACCAUCUUCUGUGAGGCAAGUAGAACAUUCUAUGUUCUAGAUAUCAUGUGUUGGAAAGGACACCCAGUCUAUGACAGUGAGACUGACUUCAGGUUUUACUGGUUACAAACAAAGCUACAAGAAGAGCCUGGAGUAGCAGAACACUCCAACACAAACCCAUUCGUGUUUGUGGCUCUGAAGAACACCCCAUGUCAGAGACUAAGUAUACAGCAGAGAUUGGCGGAAACCUUUCCCUAUGAAGUAGAUGGCUUGCUGUUUUUCCACAAGCGUACCCACUACACGUUUGGCAGUAGCCCCCUGGUUGGCUGGCUCAAACCCCACAUGUUACCUGACAUUUUAGGCAUCCCAGCUCCAACCAUCACAGUCGUGCCAGCUGUGGAAACUUCAGUGAUGGACACAACUCACGAAAAUGAUCAGGACUACAUUGAUACCAUGGAAACAGGCAACACAGCAACAAAAAAGAAGGGAAGAAGGAGAAGAAAGAGAGGUGGCUUGGAAAAAAUGGAGGCAGAAGAAUCUACCGAGCCUGUUGUAGAUGAAAAGUAGAGUAGAGAAGUAUGGGUCAUUUUCUGGUGCAUUGUAACACGGCAGUUGUGUCCUGAAACACAUGGCAUUACAAAAGUUCAAUUCAUUCCCACUCUAAACUCUUGCCAGUUUUCAGCUUUUCCUGCAGUCUGACUCCUGAAAUCAGCUUAACUUAGAUGGGCGUAUGGCACAAGGAACUAGUUAUUCUAGCUUUUGCCUAAAUGAUCUGUUUUGUUUUGUGUGUGUGUGAUAUGUUAUCAACAACUAAGUCUUGUUUCAGGCCAAAUUUUAAAUAAAUGGAACAUGAUCAACAUUUUAGCUUCACUUAAAGUGCAAUUGUUUUUAAGAUAUUUUUGUGUAUUUUUUAACAUCGUGUACAUAGAUAAGAAACAUGCAUACAAUUGUUUGGUUUGCCAUAUGUUUGUAAAUAACCAUGUAUCAGUAACUCUACAUGUAUUAAAUGAAACUCAUGCAUUGCUGAAAUACACCAGAAGCAGAGCUUCUUUGUUGCAUGUUGAUGAAUGCAGGGACUAAAUCAAUGCCCAUUACAGUUUGAUGACAGAAGACUUUUACUAUUUACAGUCAUGAAAAAUAUUUAUAAUUGUGAGGAAUAUGGAUCACUUCUUUUUUUUAACCUUGUGAGCUUGUCAGCCUUAGUGGAAAUGUUUACCAUAUCAUGGGACCACCACAUUUACCUGUAGUUUAUCCAUGAUGAUAAAGGAAUGAGGGUUUGUUGUGGUUCAUCUAAUUUUUUUUAACUUCUGUCGUCCAUAAUGGCACUUGUACACGUACAUCAUUGGACAUUAAGGUGGGCAAGUGUUGUAAAAAAAUAAACCAUUCCUGUCCAUUCAGUGCUGUAUAAUGCAAGUAGAAUCCUCUUACUCUUACAUGUGCCUUCUAAAGAUAAUCUCUCUUUAUCCUUAAUAAGUGACAUUAAUAAGGCCUCUUAAGUAGACUUUUUUUGUAGCAGAAGAGGCUUAGUCUGUGGUCCAGAAAGCUUCUUUAAUGGGGCUGCUGCUUAUACAAGGUCACCUUGAGUGAUACGAUAACUAUGGCAGAACACAGCUUCUUGGUUUGCCGCAUCUUGAUUUUAAUUUCACUGGUACUCAAGCACAAGACAUGUGGGCAACCAUUUUUUAAGUUUAAUACAAUGAUGUUGAUGGUGAAAAA